rnacentral:lncRNA from 1 species
UUGUAAAACUUUUUUUCAAGUCUCAUUAGAAAAAAAAUCCACGGUGUGUCAUCAGGAGAUGAACAACUAUUAAAUAAAGUGGCAUAACAUGCUAUACACAGUGUGUCAUCGUUGAUAGCUGUCUAUCUCCUUAUGGCAACCAUACAGCACACAAUAUUCUAAAGUGUAAACCAUGCAUUGCAGAGGAUCCGGAGUCCAUAGGCUUUUAGAUUCAUGCACUACGAGGAAUGAUGAGGACAGGAAGGAAUCCUUUGUACGUUUAUUUAUGAUUAUACAAAUAACACAUACGACUCUAAUAGAUCGGGCGACC